rnacentral:rRNA from 1 species
UAUCCUGAAACCGCAUGCUUACAAAAAGUCGGAGCCUCGAAAGGGGUGACGGCGUACCUUUUGUAUAAUGGGUCAGCGACUUACAUUCAGUGGCGAGCUUAACCGAAUAGGGGAGGCGUAGAGAAAUCGAGUCCGAAUAGGGCGUCCUAGUCGCUGGGUGUAGACCCGAAACCAAGUGAUCUAUCCAUGGCCAGGAUGAAGGUGCCGUAACAGGUACUGGAGGUCCGAACCGACUGGUGUUGCAAAACCAGCGGAUGAGCUGUGGAUAGGGGUGAAAGGCUAAACAAACUUGGAAAUAGCUGGUUCUCUCCGAAAACUAUUUAGGUAGUGCCUCAAGUAUUACCUGCGGGGUAGAGCACUGUUUUGGCUAGGGGGUCAUGGCGACUUACCAAACCAAGGCAAACUCCGAAUACUGCAGAGUACAGCUUGGGAGACAGAGCACCGGGUGCUAACGUCCGGACUCAAGAGGGAAACAACCCAGACCGCCAGCUAAGGUCCCUAAAAAUUGGCUAAGUGGGAAACGAAGUGGG